AUGUUCUGUAACAGGCAUUAAACCAGCAUCCGGGGAUUCUCCUUUACAGCUUGGUCCAAAAGAAGAGGAUGUGACAAAGCCUGUAAAUCUGCGGUCGUUCUUUGUGCGGUUCAUCUUGGGUGUCAUGGCAGCAACAUACUUUGUUCUGGUGCCUAUAUACAUGUGGCUCAAGGAUAAAAUUGUACCCAAAGGUCAACCAAUCUAAGAGAGAGAGAGAGAGAGAGAGAGAGAGAGCCUUAGAAAACAUUAUAUUUCAGCAUCUUUUCGUGUGCUUUUGGUUGGUUUCACUUUUAGUAGGCAGGCAAAGUUUUCAUAGUGUUUGGUGAGACUGAAUUGUUGAUGAUCGCUAAUAAAGUUCCAAUCACAUUUUUAAUUUUUCU